rnacentral:rRNA from 1 species
GCUCUGCAUGUGUAAUGUUUGCAUGAAGAUCAAACUUGAUCAUUUAGAGGAAGUAAAAGUCGUAACAAGGUUUCCGUAGUGA